rnacentral:rRNA from 1 species
AGAGCGAACGCUGGCGGCAGGCCUAACACAUGCAAGUCGAGCGCCCCGCAAGGGGAGCGGCAGACGGGAUAGUAACACGUGGGAACGUACCCUUCAGUUCGGAACAACCCAGGGAAACUUGGGCUAAUACCGGAUACGUCCGUAAGGAGAAAGAUUUAUCGCUGAGGGAUCGGCCCGCGUCUGAUUAGCUAGUUGGUGGGGUAAUGGCCCACCAAGGCGACGAUCAGUAGCUGGUCUGAGAGGAUGAUCAGCAUCACUGGGACUGAGACACGGCCCAGACUCCUACGGGAGGCAGCAGUGGGGAAUAUUGGACAAUGGGCGCAAGCCUGAUCCAGCCAUGCCGCGUGGAUGAUGAAGGCCCUAGGGUUGUAAAGUCCUUUCGGCGGGGAAGAUAAUGACGGUACCCGCAGAAGAAGCCCCGGCUAACUUCGUGCCAGCAGCCGC